rnacentral:tRNA from 1 species
GCCGCUAUAGCUCAGUGGUAGAGCGCACCCUUGGUAAGGGUGAGGUCAAGGGUUCAAAUCCCUUUAGCGGCU